rnacentral:rRNA from 1 species
AUACGUAGGGUGCAAACGUUGUCCGGAAUUACUGGGUGUAAAGGGUGCACAGGCGGUUUUGUGCGUCAGAGGUUAAAUGCCACGGCUCAACUGUGGACCUGCCUUUGAUACGGCAAGACUUGAGUGGAAGAGAGGAUGAUAGAACUCCUGGUGUAGCGGUGAAAUGCGUAGAUAUCAGGAAGAAUACCAUUUGCGAAGGCGGUCAUCCGGCUUUCAACUGACGCUUAAGCACGAAAGCGUGGGUAGCGAACAGGAUUAGAUACCCUGGUAGUCCACGCCCUAAACGAUGCAUGCUUGGUGUUGUGGGUUUUGACCCUCAGUGCCGUAGGUAACCCGUUAAGCAUGCCACCUGGGGAGUACGAUCGCAAGGUUGAA